CGAUGGAUGGGUCCUCGCAUCCACGCUGGUCGGCGAAUCCAUGCACGUUCACCAGGUGGCACUGUGACUGAGAGUGUGUGCUGGCCUCUGAAUCACAUCUGGACCAGAGUUUAAUCACACGUAAAAUUUCAGCCAGAUUGGAGCAUGUUCAGACUAGUUAUACAGCAUUUCCUGCCCAUCCACCACCAGGUGGCGCUGUAACUCAGAGUGUAUUUCAAACAGUGGAUGUGAUGAGGGCUGGACUCUGAUCACUCAUGAAAAGUUUCAGGCUGAUUUGAUCAUGUAGAGGCCAGUUAUACAGCAUUUAUUGUCCCUCCAACAGGUGGCGCUGCAACUGAGAGUGUCUGUUGGCCUGUAGAUGUGAUCAGGAUUGGAUUGUGAUCACACAUGGAAAGUUUGAGGCAGAUUGGAGCAUGCAGAGGAGAGUUAUACAGCAGUUGUUGUUUCAUGGCGAAGCAUCAAAACUCUAAUGGUCGCCAUGGCCACGCCAUUUGGCUUCUGGUUAAACUUUUGAUAACUUUUCCAAACCAAGUCCUGCUGUGUGGACUGACAAAAUUUCAGGUCUCCUGGAAUUAUCCCCUAGGAGGUAUUAACUCUCAAAAAUGAGAAAAAUCAUCAAAAAUCUCACAAUUAAUCCAAGAUGGCCGACUUCCUGUUGGGUUUAGGACAUGGCUCCAAGAGGCUUUUUUGUGCGUCCUGAUGUGCUCUAUAAGCCUCCCAAAUUUCAUGGAUGUAGGUGAAACGUGCUGGGGGGGCUGUUUGUUAAAAAUACUGUAGGGGGCGCUAUAGCAUGUGCAGUGCCGAGAUGCAUACAGUGUUGUUCCUUGGGUCAAUGGUGAUGUGUGUGGUAAUUUUUGUGAGCAUUGGAGUAUUCCUAACCUGUCAGAAAGGGCUUUGUUUUUCAUGGCGAUAUUUGGUUGCUACGGCAACAGCGUUGCAUGAAAUGUCACACCCUUCACAGUGUGUGAUUGUCAAGAGGUGAAGACUCGACUGACCAAUUUCCAGCAUGAUAUCACCAAGUUUGGGGCCAUUGUACCUGAAAAUAUAAGGCCUUAAACUUACUAUUACCAACAGGUGGCGCUAUGACUUUUUCAAAAUUUAUGAGUGUGGAUGUGUUCAGACUGGACCUGGUAUCCAGCAUGUGAAGUCUGAGGCAGAUAGGAUGUUGUUCAGCUGAGAUAUGAAUCGUUAAAUUUUCAUGGCGAAACAUCGAAAUUGGUUUGGCCGCCACAGACACGCCCUUUGAUGACAAGUCACCAUUUUCACUGGGAUGCAUCAUCAAUGUGUUUAGGCUGUUGUCACUGCAUUUGAAGUGAAUAUGAUCAACCGGGUAACAAUAGGGCAUGAAAGUGUAAAAGAUGUCUAUUUCCUGAAACCACAAGGUGGCGCUAUGACUGUCAAUGAAUAUCCCUAUGUGGAUGACAUCAGGACAGGACUGUCAUCAUACAUGUAAAGUUUCAGGCAGAUUGGAGCAUGUUGAGAAGAAUUAGACACCACUUCCUGUUUCAUGGCGAAGGAUCAGUUGUUUGAGGCUCCGCCAUGGCCACACCUUUUGGCUUCUGGUUGAGUUUUUGAUAACUUUUCAUCAGAAAGGUCUGGUGCAUGUACUGGCCAAAUUUCAGUUCUCUCAGACUUAUCCACUAGGAGCUAUAAAUUUUGACAAAUGUACAGCAAAUUCAAGAUGGCCGACUUCCUGUUGGGUUUAGGGUGUGGCUGUGAUUGACUUUUUGGUGUGUCCUGAUGUGGUGCAUAUGCCCACCAAAUAUUGUAGCUGUAAAUAAAACAUUGUGGAAGUUGGCCUAAUGACCACUUUUUCAAUUUUGCAGGUGGCGCUAUAGAGCCAUUUUUCCACACAUAUGCGCAACUCCCAUAAAAUAUCAAAUUUUUCGCCAGUCCUGAUGUGCACGCCAAAUUUCACGCGUUUUGGUUCAUGAUAAGGCCGCCAAAAAGGCAAGUCAUUUCCCGAGGAGCGAUUAAGUUUGAAAAAUUUACAGCAAAUUGAAGAUGGCCGACUUCCUGUUGGGUUUAGGGCGUGGCUGUAAUUGACUUUUUGGUGUGUCCAGAUGUUCUGCAUAUGCCCACCAAAUAUUGUAGCUGUACAUGAAACAUUGUGGCAGUUGGCCUAAUGACUACUUUUUCAAGUUUGCAGGUGGCGCUAUAGAGCCAUUUUGCCACGCACAUGCGCAACUCCCAUAAAAUAUCAAAUUUUUCGCCAGUCCUGAUGUGCAUGCCAAAUUUCACGCGUUUUGGAGUAUGAUAAGGCCGCCAAAAAGCCAAUUUACUUUACGGGAGAAAAAAAAAAAAAAAAAAUAAUAAUAAUAAUAAUAAUAAUAAA